AUUGGUGAGUAACCAGCAGCCGCGGUAAUACCCCCGUUGGCGGACGGGUGAGUAACCAGCAGCCGUGGUAAUCCCCCCGUUGGCGGACGGGUGAGUAAUGCCUAGGAAUCUGCCUGAUAGUGGGGGACAACGUUUCGAAAGGAACGCUAAUACCGCAUACGUCCUACGGGAGAAAGCAGGGGACCUUCGGGCCUUGCGCUAUCAGAUGAGCCUAGGUCGGAUUAGCUAGUUGGUGAGGUAACGGCUCACCAAGGCGACGAUCCGUAACUGGUCUGAGAGGAUGAUCAGUCACACUGGAACUGAGACACGGUCCAGACUCCUACGGGAGGCAGCAGUGGGGAAUAUUGGACAAUGGGCGAAAGCCUGAUCCAGCCAUGCCGCGUGUGUGAAGAAGGUCUUCGGAUUGUAAAGCACUUUAAGUUGGGAGGAAGGGCAUUAACCUAAUACGUUAGUGUUUUGGCGUUACCGACAGAAUAAGCACCGGCUAACUUCGUGCCAGCAGCCGCGGUAAUAAUC
rnacentral:rRNA from 1 species